rnacentral:rRNA from 1 species
AACGAACGCUGGCGGCAUGCCUAACACAUGCAAGUCGAACGAGACCUUCGGGUCUAGUGGCGCACGGGUGCGUAACGCGUGGGAACCUGCCCUUAGGUUCGGAAUAACUCCCCGAAAGGGGUGCUAAUACCGGAUAAUGUCUUCGGACCAAAGAUUUAUCGCCUUUGGAUGGGCCCGCGUUGGAUUAGCUAGUUGGUAGGGUAAAAGCCUACCAAGGCGACGAUCCAUAGCUGGUCUGAGAGGAUGAUCAGCCACACUGGGACUGAGACACGGCCCAGACUCCUACGGGAGGCAGCAGUGGGGAAUAUUGGAAAAUGGGCGAAAGCAUGAUCCAGCAAUGCCGCGUGAGUGAUGAAGGCCUUAGGGUUGUAAAGCGCUUUUACCCGGGAUGAUAAUGACAGUACCGGGAGAAUAAGCACCGGCUAACUCCGUG